rnacentral:rRNA from 1 species
AUUGAACGCUGGCGGCAGGCCUAACACAUGCAAGUCGAGCGGAGCGGCGGACGGGUGCGUGAUGCCUAGGAAUCUGCCUGGUACUGGGGGAUAAGGUUCGCUACUGGGCGCUAAUACCGCAUCCUAUCAGCUUAGCCUAGGUCGGAUUAGCUAGUUGGUGGGGUAAAGGCCUCCCCAGGCGACGAUCCGUAACUGGUCUGAGAGGAUGAUCAGUCACACUGGAACUGAGACACGGUCCAGACUCCUACGGGAGGCAGCAGUGGGGAAUAUUGGACAAUGGGCGAAAGCCUGAUCCAGCCAUGCCGCGUGUAUGAAGAAGGUCUUCGGAUUGUAAAGCACUUUAAGUUGGGAGGCGUUACCAACAGAAUAAGCACCGGCUAACUUCGUGCCAGCAGCCGCGGUAAUAC